CACUUCAGCACCUAGUUUGAGCUGUGCGUUGAUAGAUCACUCAGUCAGUUUUGCCUUUUAUAUAUUUGGA